rnacentral:rRNA from 1 species
GACGAACGCUGGCGGCGUGCUUAACACAUGCAAGUCGAACGGAAAGGCCCUGCUUUUGUGGGGUGCUCGAGUGGCGAACGGGUGAGUAACACGUAAGUAACCUGCCCUUGACUUUGGGAUAACUUCAGGAAACUGGGGCUAAUACCGGAUAGGAGCUCCUGCUGCAUGGCGGGGGUUGGAAAGUUUCGGCGGUUGGGGAUGGACUCGCGGCUUAUCAGCUUGUUGGUGGGGUAGUGGCUUACCAAGGCUUUGACGGGUAGCCGGCCUGAGAGGGUGACCGGCCACAUUGGGACUGAGAUACGGCCCAGACUCCUACGGGAGGCAGCAGUGGGGAAUAGUGCACAAUGGGCGGAAGCCUGAUGCAGCAACGCCGCGUGCGGGAUGACGGCCUUCGGGUUGUAAACCGCUUUCGCCUGUGACGAAGCGUGAGUGACGGUAAUGGGUAAAGAAGCACCGGCUAACUACGUG